GUUCAACGGCCGCGGUAUUCUGACCGUGCAAAGGUAGCGUAAUCACUUGUCUUUUAAAUAAAGACUAGUAUGAAUGGCAUCACGAGAGUUCAACUGUCUCCCACACCCAAUCAGUGAAACUGAUCUCCCCGUGCAGAAGCGGGGAUAAAACCAUAAGACGAGAAGACCCCAUGGAGCUUUAAACUAAAGGCACUAGCCCCCAACUCACCCCCUAGGGUAAAACAUUUUAACCGGCUAAAGUGACCUGUCGUUUUCGGUUGGGGCGACCACGGAGAAAAACAAAUCCUCCGAGAUGAAAGGGAUAACCCUUAGCCAAGACCAACAAUUCUAAGCAAUAGAACGUCUAACGCACUGAUCCAAUCAAAUUGAUCAACGAACCAAGUUACCCUGGGGAUAACAGCGCAAUCUAUUUUCAGAGUUCAUAUCGACAAAUAGGUUUACGACCUCGAUGUUGGAUCAGGGCCUCCUAGCGG
rnacentral:rRNA from 1 species